UUAUCCAACGAUCAAAGGGAUCGUGCUGUUCUGUUCUUAUCAGUUUAAUAUCUGAUACGUCCCCUAUCUGGGGACCAUAUAUUAAAUUGAUUUUUGGAAUAGGGAGAUGGAAUAGGGGCUUGCUCCGUCCACUCCACGCAUUGAACUGGUAUUGCAGUAUUUAUUAUUAUAUUACAAAUUAG